GUCGCGUGUUCUAGACCCGAAGCGGGGUGAUCUACCCAUGGUCAGGUUGAAGCAGAGGUAAGACUGUGUGGAGGACCGAACCCACCAGGGUUGAAAACCUGGGGGAUGAACUGUGGGUAGGGGUGAAAGGCCAAUCAAACUCCGUGAUAGCUGGUUCUCCCCGAAAUGCAUUUAGGUGCAGCGUUGCGUGGUCCCUGGUGGAGGUAGAGCUACUGGAUGGCCGAUGGGCCCUGUGGGUUACUGACGUCAGCCAAACUCCGAAUGCCAUUAGGUGUAGCGCGGCAGUGAGACUGCGGGGGAUAAGCUUCGUAGUCGAGAGGGAAACAGCCCAGAUCAUCAGCUAAGGCCCCUAAGCGUACGCUAAGUGGGAAAGGAUGUGGAGUCGCGGUGACAACCAGGAGGUUGGCUUAGAAGCAGCCAUCCUUGAAAGAGUGCGUAAUAGCUCACUGGUCAAGUGGUUCUGCGCCGACAAUGUAGCGGGGCUCAAGCGUACCGCCGAAGCUGUGGCAACAACACGCGAUGCUGGCGCCAGGAACUGGAGUGCUGGUGUGUUGUUGGGUAGGGGAGCGUCCUGCACGAGGUGAAGCCUGGAGGGAACUUCUGGUGGAUUGUGUGGGAGUGAGAAUGCAGGCAUGAGUAACGAAUCUGCGGUGAGAAUCCGCAGCGCCGAUUGACUAAGGGUUCCAGGGCUAGGUUUAUCCGCCCUGGGUUAGUCGGGUCCUAAGGCGAGGCCGACAGGCGUAGUCGAUGGACAACCAGUUGAUAUUCUGGUACCGCGUUAUGACCGCCCAUGCUGAAGUCAUUGUGCUAACCAAUCUGCCCGCGCACCCUUGUGGCUUUCGGGCUGCGAGCGUGUGUGUGGGUCUUGGGGCCCCGGUGAUGGUAGGCAAGCGUGUUAACAGGGGUGACGCAGACAGGUAGCUGCAGUGCGCCGAUGGUUGAGCGUAUUUAAGGUUGUGGCCCGCCGCCCAGGUAAAUCCGGGUGGCACGAGGGGUGAGAACUGAUGAGGGACACACGCGUGUGUGGACUUGUGGUGAUCCUAUGCUGCCGAGAAAAGCCUCGACGUGAGGGCAUGACGCGCCCGUACCCUAAACCGACUCAGGUGGUCAGGUAGAGUAUACCGAGGCGUUCGAGUGAAUCGUGGUUAAGGAACUCGGCAAAAUUCCUCCGUAACUUCGGGAUAAGGAGGACCCCGUGACUUCCCCACGCCAAGCGUGUGGGUGGGGUUGUGGGGUCGCAGAGAAUAGGGAGAAGCGACUGUUUAUCAAAAACACAGGUGCGUGCGAAGCCGUAAGGCGAUGUAUACGCACUGACGCCUGCCCGGUGCUGGAAGGUUAAGAGGAACUGUUAACACCCCCCUGGGGUGUGAAGCGGUGAAUUUAAGCCCCAGUAAACGGCGGUGGUAACUAUAACCAUCCUAAGGUAGCGAAAUUCCUUGUCGGGUAAGUUCCGACCUGCACGAAUGGCGUAACGACUUCUCCGCUGUCUCGACCGUGAACUCGGCGAAAUUGCAGUACGAGUAAAGAUGCUCGUUUCGCGCAGAAGGACGGAAAGACCCCGGGACCUUUACUAUAGCUUGGUAUUGGUGUUCGCUUGGACUUGUGUAGGAUAGGUGGGAGACUGUGAAGCUGCCGCGCCAGCGGUGGUGGAGUCGUCGUUGAAAUACCAUUCUGGUUCAAGCGGUCACCUCAACCUUGGCCCGUGAUCCGGGUUGGGGACAGUGCCUGGUGGGUAGUUUAACUGGGGCGGUUGCCUCCUAAAAUGUAACGGAGGCGCUCAAAGGUUCCCUCAGCCUGGUUGGUAAUCAGGUGGCGAGUGCAAGUGUACAAGGGAGCUUGACUGUGAGACCGACGGGUCGAGCAGGUGCGAAAGCAGGAACUAGUGAUCCGGCCAUGGCACGUGGGUGCGUGGUCGCUCAACGGAUAAAAGGUACCCCGGGGAUAACAGGCUGAUCUUGCCCAAGAGUCCAUAUCGACGGCAUGGUUUGGCACCUCGAUGUCGGCUCGUCGCAUCCUGGGGCUGGAGUCGGUCCCAAGGGUUGGGCUGUUCGCCCAUUAAAGCGGUACGCGAGCUGGGUUCAGAACGUCGUGAGACAGUUCGGUCCCUAUCCUCUGUGCGCGCAGGAAAUUUGAGAAGGGCCGUCCCUAGUACGAGAGGACCGGGAUGGACGAACCUCUGGUGUGCCAGUUGUACCGCCAGGUGCAUGGCUGGUUGGCUACGUUCGGAAGGGAUAACCGCUGAAAGCAUCUAAGCGGGAAGCCUGCUUCAAGAUGAGGUUUCCACGCCCCCACGUGGGGUGAGAGGCCCCCGCCAGACGAGCGGGUUGAUAGGCCAGAGGUGGAAGCACCGCGAGGUGCUCGUGAGCCGACUGGUACUAAUGGGCCAACACUAAACAACA
rnacentral:rRNA from 1 species